rnacentral:piRNA from 1 species
GCUGUAGUACUGGCGACUCAGGGUCAG